GGAGGAGUGGCCGAGUGGUUGAAGGCGGUCGCCUCGAAAGCGACUAUACCAGAAAUGGUAUCGGGGGUUCGAAUCCUCCCUCCUCCG
rnacentral:tRNA from 1 species